CUUUUAUGUUCGGACAAAAUAUCAUAAAAAAGUAAAAUAUGAAAGAUGCGGAGAAAACUUCAAAGUUUUACUGCAAAUGGUGGUUCAGUUUUGAUAAACCUGACCUGGUAUUCUUUUACGUUACAAUCCGUGUAUUAUUUUACCCAACCUCACAUGCAGUAAAAACUAAAAUGAAUAAGUCUUCGGUAACUUGUUCAUAUUCAAAGAUUUAUUUCUUAUUAAUUCACAACACAAAAAAAAAAUUAAAAAAAAUACAUAUUAUAUAUUCUUCAGGUCAUCGGGAGACAUAAUUUACAUAGGAUAUAAAAUGUUUCAGAUCAAGAAACAAAAAACUUGGUAGUGGCUUUUGCUCAUAGAUUAAACUGUGUCUCAUUCCUUCGAAGAGAACAUCACUUCCUAGACUGAUAUAUAUAUAUAUAUAUAUAUAUGUUUUCUUUUACAUUCGUAGGGUGAGAAGAAUACUGAACCAAUUUUACGGGUAGUUCAAUCACAAUAAUUAGGAGACGUAUGCCACUUUACUCCCUUUGUUUAUGAUUUUUCAGAAGGAAGUAAUCGCUGGUUGGCUUCUUAAGGACUUAGGAGCCUACCAAAGAAUUAAAGGCGUCUGAGAAGAGCUGGCAAUGAUGAAACUGUAAAAGUGAGUAGGACAAUGAAGCAUAACCUGUUUGCAAACUAAGUAGUGAAGCUCAUAUGGGGAAAUACCACCUUGCCUCGGCUUAGUGAAUACAUCAUUGCAUGACCUCAUGAGGUGUGGAAGGUUGCAGUCUCUACUAACUCUGAAAAUAGGAAAACAAAUUUCUAAAUGAUAAAGCAAUCUUCCAAGUGUAUGAAAACAUAAAUUGAUUAAAUCUUUUUAUUUUUGUGA